rnacentral:rRNA from 1 species
GAUGAACGCUGGCGGCGUGCUUAACACAUGCAAGUCGAACGAACCUUCGGGUUAGUGGCGGACGGGUGAGUAACGCGUGGGAAUCUGCCCUCAGGAGGGGGAUAACGGCUGGAAACGGCCGCUAAUACCCCAUAUGCCGCGAGGUGAGAUGAAUUUCGCCUGAGGAUGAGCCCGCGUCUGAUUAGCUAGUUGGUGGGGUAAAGGCCUACCAAGGCGACGAUCAGUAGCUGGUCUGAGAGGAUGAUCAGCCACACUGGGACUGAGACACGGCCCAGACUCCUACGGGAGGCAGCAGUGGGGAAUUUUCCGCAAUGGGCGAAAGCCUGACGGAGCAACGCCGCGUGAGGGAUGAAGGCCUCUGGGCUGUAAACCUCUUUUCUCAAGGAAGAAGAUCUGACGGUACUUGA